rnacentral:rRNA from 1 species
GAUAAUGGCUCAGGAUGAACGCUAGCUACAGGCUUAACACAUGCAAGUCGAGGGGCAGCAUGACCUAGCAAUAGGUUGAUGGCGACCGGCGCACGGGUGAGUAACACGUAUCCAACCUACCGGUUAUUUCCGGGGAUAGCCUUUCGAAAGAAAGAUUAAUACCGGAUAGUAUAACGAGAAGGCAUCUUCUUGUUAUUUAAAAGAAAUUUCGAUAACCGAUGGGGAUGCGUUCCCAUUAGUUUGUUGGCGGGGUAACGGCCCACCAAG